rnacentral:rRNA from 1 species
AGUGGCGGACGGGUGAGUAACACGUAAGAAUUUGCCUUUAGGAGGGGGAUAACAACUGGAAACGGUUGCUAAUACCCCAUAUGCUUUCGAGUGAAAUGGAUUUCCGCCUAAAGAGAAGCUUGCGGCUGAUUAGCUUGUUGGUGAGGUAAUGGCUCACCAAGGCGACGAUCAGUAUCUGGUUUGAGAGGACGAUCAGACACACUGGAACUGAGACACGGUCCAGACUCCUACGGGAGGCAGCAGUGGGGAAUUUUCCGCAAUGGGCGAAAGCCUGACGGAGCAAUACCGCGUGAGGGAUGAAGGCCUAUGGGUUGUAAACCUCUUUUUUCAGGGAGGAACAAAAUGACGUGUACCUGAAGAAUAAGCAUCGGCUAACUCCGUGCCAGCAGCCGCGGUAAGACGGGGGAUGCAAGUGUUAUCCGGAAUCACUGGGCGUAAAGCGUCUGUAGGUGGUUAAGUAAGUCAACCGUUAAAUCUUGAGGCUUAACCUCAAAAUCGCAGUCGAAACUGCUUGACUAGAGUAUAGUAGGGGUAAAGGGAAUUUCCAGUGGAGCGGUGAAAUGCGUAGAUAUUGGAAAGAACACCGAUGGCGAAGGCACUUUACUGGGCUAUUACUAACACUGAGAGACGAAAGCUAGGGUAGCAAAUGGGAUUAGAUACCCCAGUAGUCCUAGCUGCAAACAAUGGAUACUAGAUGUUG